UACGUAGGGUGCAAGCGUUAAUCGGAAUUACUGGGCGUAAAGCGUGCGCAGGCGGUGAUGUAAGACAGAUGUGAAAUCCCCGGGCUCAACUUGGGAACUGCAUUUGUGACUGCAUCGCUGGAGUGCGGCAGAGGGGGAUGGAAUUCCGCGUGUAGCAGUGAAAUGCGUAGAUAUGCGGAGGAACACCGAUGGCGAAGGCAAUCCCCUGGACCUGUACUGACGCUCAUGCACGAAAGCGUGGGGAGCAAACAGG
rnacentral:rRNA from 1 species